rnacentral:rRNA from 1 species
UAACGGAUAUUGGGCAAUGGGCGAAAGCCUGACCCAGCGACGCCGCGUAUGGGAAGAAGUCCUUCGGGAUGUAAACCAUUGUCAGGGAUCACCAAGUGACCAUGUCGAAUAGACGUGGGAGUUGAGGAGUCCCAGAGGAAGCCACGGCUAACUUCGUGCCAGCAGCCGCGGUAAGACGAAGGUGGCAAGCGUUGUUCGGAAUCACUGGGCUUAAAGCGUGUGUAGGCGGCCUGACAAGUGCCUUGUGAAAUCCCACGGCUCAACCGUGGAAUUGCUUGGUAGACUGUUGGGCUUGAGGCAGGUAGGGGCGAGUGGAACUCAUGGUGGAGCGGUGGAAUGCGUAGAUAUCAUGAGGAACGCCGGAGGUGAAAACGACUCGCUGGGCCUGUCCUGACGCUGAGACACGAAAGCCAGGGGAGCAAACGGG